rnacentral:lncRNA from 1 species
GCUGUUGCUGCCGAGGCUGCCACAGCCGCUACUGCUGCCGGCAGAGCUGCUGGGAGUGAGCAUCCCCCGUCUGGGAUAACCAGCUCCGCGGCAUCUCCUGCGUGCCCUGGCUCCACAGGGACCUGCCAGCCCUAGGGAACAAAAGCGGAGCCCCUUCUCGCCCUCUCCUGCAGCCAGAGGAUGAGUCGAGAGGGCUGAGCGGAGAGUGUGGUUCUUGGCGACUGGGCGGCGGAGAAGGGCCUGCAACAGAGAUCUUAGAUUGUUUAGAAGCCUCCCCCACAGCUAAGGCUGGGCACACAGAGCCCCUCCUGGCCACCACUGGCUGUCUGGGUAUCCAAGCAAGGAUCCCCAGGAGGAGGUGGGUCCAUCAACCUACUCAACAUUAUGUAGAUAUAAAGUGAACGUGUUGCAGUGAAAGUCAAAUGUAUCCCCAAAUACCACUCCACUUCACUACCUGCCAAGGCCAACUUGCUCUGUCCUUGGCAUCUCCCAUGACGGUUCCUGACGUGUGGUCCUGGUAGUCUUGGGAAAACAUCAGCCAAUUGCUUCCGUCCAGAUCUCAGGCCUCCCUUUCCCCAGCAUCACCCCAACCCAGCCUGGACACCUUGACGGAACACCAUUCAGCAGGACAUGGUGGGGAGCCCUGACUCCAUGUCUUCAUGACUGAGGAACUCUUGCACAACACAAAGGGAUAAUGUUGAAUGAAUCACAGACUGGUGGAUGGAUGUCCCUUCCUAACACUUUUAAUUAGCAGCGCUGCCUAUUAGGAUGAACAGAGUGCUGUGUUCCUGCCAUAGAUUACCCCCAACCCCCCUUAAAUGGAAUAGAAAUCUUAUUCUCCACAAGACCUGAAAGACUGCCGGCCUGUCCUCAUUAGCCAGACGUGUAGUGACCUAGGAUCUGACCUGUCCUGAGAAGGCUCUGAAGGCAUCGGCCCAGGGACCCAAGUCUGAAUAAUCGCUAAAACCACUAUCCCCAUUCCUUGGUGUUCUUUGGAGCUUUUUGUCCACUUGCCUUUUUUUUUUUUUUUUUCCCACUGUACAGCAAGGGGGUCAGGUUAUCCUUACAUGUAUACAUUGCAAUUACAGUUUUUUCCCCCACCCUUUCUUCUGUUGCAACAUGAGUAUCUAGACAUAGUUCUCAAUGCUAUUCAGCAGGAUCUCCUUGUAAAUCUAUUCUAGGUUGUGUCUGAUAAGCCCAAGCUCCCGAUCCCUCCCACUCCCUCCCCCUCCCAUCAGGCAACCACAAGUCUCUUCUCCAAGUCCAUGAUUUUCUUUUCUGAGGAGAUGUUCAUUUGUGCUGGAUAUUAGAUUCCAGUUAUAAGUGAUAUCAUAUGGUAUUUGCCUUUGCCUUUUCAUUUACAGCCAUCUUAGGUGAUAAAUCAUACCUUCCCAGGUGGAAUAGCUUUAAGGCAGGAAACGCUUUUUCUUAUGAUCUUCCUCCCGUUUUCUCCUUUCUUGAAUGUAUCCCUUGGGUGCCUCAUUUAUGCCCCCUUUUUGUCGUCUUUAUUUUCUUGGAUUUUCUCUAUUUAUUUAUUUCUCUAUAUCUGUUUCUACCUCCCACUUUCCCUCAUUCUUCUGAAAGAAUCAUACUUGAAAGUAGGAGAUUCUAGAUACUAGGGGCUUAACUGUAGGAACUUUGAGAGCGUUCUUAACUGUGUGGUAAUUUCCCUUAUCUGCGAGUUUUGGUGGUGGUGAUCGUGUUGCUUCCAGGGCUGAAUGUGUUGGGUUUGCAUCUCUGCUCCAAAACACAACAGCUCCCUGAUGCUGAGCAAAUCAAUCUCCUUAAGUUUCAGUGUUUACAUCAGAAAAAUUAAGGCAAUAAUAAUACGUUCCUUACAGAACUGUUGUAAGAAUUUAAUGAGAGGGUGCAUGUGAAAGGGUGUCUGGCAUAGCAUAUAUUCUCAAUGAAUAGUGUUAGCUAUUAUUAUUGCUUAUAAAAAUAAAACACACUAUCAGCUAUUGUAAAUCCUUAAAACACAAAAGGCAGAUGUGUUGAUCUUUGGCAAUAGGAGAGGAAGAAGCUGGGAAGACGCUUCCUACUCUUUGGCUGAUAGAAGUGUAAAUCCUUAGUGACAGAGGCACUGAAAGCAGAUAAACCUGUCGGGUGCAUGGGGAGCUCCCCCAUGUCUGGAGAGUGGCCUGGAUGCUGAACAGUUAGAAGCCCUGGCAGGUUCCUGGAACUUCUUCUGGACCUCUGGGGAACAUCUAAGUCAACCCUCCCCUAGACAUGGUAUCCCUUCCCAGAUAGUAUGGUGGCUCAGUGGCUCGUCAUAUGUCAACUUGGCCCAAUUGAAUUACAUUCCUUAGAAUUCAGUUUACUGUAUGUUUCCACUUAGGAUGGACCACAGGGGAGAUGUCUGGGAGAUCUGGAGGAUGCAAGGGAUACAGCAGCCACUUGGCAGCGCACAUAUUGUUGCUGACCUGCUGACUCACCUGGUCAGCAUGAAGCAGCAUCCAGGACUACAACUGCUCUCCCUUUCCCCGCCUCCUCCUCCAGCUUUUCCAGCUCCUCAUCCAGAUGCGUGUGUUCAGCUCCUUGAUAAAUGGCUCGGGCUCCAGUAGGUCACCACAUCCACAAGCUUGGAAACAGGGAAAACCAAGGUUCUAGUUAGUUCUCAUGGAGUUUUCAGCUCAUGCCCAUGGGUUCCAGACUGCUUCUGACUUUCCUCCUUAUAUCCAUCUUUCUUUCCUCACUGCCUGCCCAGAGUAUUUCAAGCUCCAGCAUCACGUCACACGACAGAUUUAUAGACUGCUUAACCAGUUCCCACAAUUGCAUAAGGCCAAAUCCAUGUAUUAAAUAAAUAAUACAUAUAUAUUUAUUAAAUAUAUAAAAAUAUGUAAAAUGUGCAUAUAUCUAACAUAUAAUGUAUUCAUUUAUUGUUUAGAAAACAGAACCAGCCACUAGGAGAUUAUAUGUGUGCAUGUAUGUGUGUAUACAUACAUGUAUACAUAUACACACACAUGUAUACAUAUACACACCCACACUCACACACACACAUAAAUCUACUCGUGUUGACCCUGACUGAUACAGAGAGUCAUAUGCUUUUAAUAAUGGGUAAUUCUCCACUUUAUAAGGCAGCCCAUUUCUUUUCUAUCUCCCCUCUACCAUUCCCCUUUCUGCAAUGUAGCAAAAAAGCAAUUAAACUCACGGUCCAACAGCGUAGCUUUUCCAGUUCAGGGCAUACCCCACUUUCUCCUGAAGACUUCUCUCCCUCUCAACCCUAAACCCUCUCACAAUUUCUCACUGCCAUGACCUCACCCAUUAAAGUUUUUCUCUCUGGUUUCUCACCCUUUUGAGCUUCAGAAUUCAACUCUUAAUGAAAUUAACCCCAUAAGUACAAAUACACUGGAGAGGCCCCUCGAGCCUUUCCACAUUCCCAGACUUAUCUCCUCAUCCUCCUCCCAUGCCUUUUUUUUUUUCAUAGUUAUUUCCCCAAUACAAUUUUUUUUCUACUGUACACCAUAGUGACCCAGUUACACAUACAUGUACACAUUCUAUUUUUGCACAUUAUCAUGCUCCAUCAUAAAUUGAAGAGUAUGCUUCGAUUCCAAGGGCUUCCAAGGCACAGUGUGAUAAAGUGGGAAGAGAGGGAUGCAUAGAAUCUAAAAGCAGACACCUGUGCUUGUGUCCUGACACCAUAGCAUUAAUUGCCUCUCUUUGACAGCUUCUGAGGGCCUCAGUUUCCUCAGCUGUAAAAUGGGUGUACUAAUAGCCAACCAGCUUAUGUCCAGGCCCUCUGAGUCCAAGAAUACCUGAGCAGCUCUAGAUGUUUGAGGCCCCUUGUACUUGUACAUCUCUCCAGUCUCAGAUUAGCUCACACCUGGAUGGGAAGAUGCCAAUAUGAUCAAAUGUUGGACUUCAGCAUUUGUGCUAGAGUAGAAAAUCAGACACUCUUAUUUUUCAAUAAAAGGUAA